ACAGGACUGAAGCUGGCAAGGCCCUUGAUGCUAAUCAAGGUGAUUAAUUCCAACAUUUACACUCGCCUCCAACAGGCAAGAGUUCUUUCUCCCACCCUGGAGCUUCCACAGAUAGAUAAACCUUCCUUGCUUAGUUUCUCCAUACCUCACAACCUCUGAGGAUGCCUGCCCUAGAUGUGGGCGAAACGUCAGGAGAGAAUGCUUCUGGAGCAUGGCCAUACAGCCGGGAAAACACACAACAACCCAAAGAGCUUCCUCGCCAAACAGCCUUCCCAGCACUUCCUCCUUUGCAUGCUUCUUCUCAACGUUCUAUCCCCGCCCCUUCUGGGGCCACGUGACGAGAGGGACAGGCCAAUCAGAGCUCUUUGCUGCUUUAUGAACUGGUGCGGAUGGAUGCGAAGAAACUGCCUUGGUGGAAGAAGGGAGAGGAGAGAGAAAGAAAGAGAACUGACCAGGUACAAAUACUGAGAGAAGAAUCAGGACAGCUAUUCUAAAUGGCUCACAUUGGGAAGGAAAACCAGCAAGAAGCCGUGCCUCUCCCAGAGCGGGCAUCAAAGGAAAGUGCUGUGCUUGCAGCAAACGCCUUCAGCAGCAAGAUCCCUGUGCUGUCUAAAAGCAGACUCGCACCCAAACAGCAGACAUGUGUAUCCAGUGGGAAGAGCAAAGCGAUCAAGGACCCAAAGGUGCCUCACACCAGUUCAGCUCCUGCUGUUGGUGGACUGGAACCGGUGGCUGCUUCAUUGCCCAAGAGCCUUUCCAGAGAACCUCUGGGGGAAGUACAUCUCAGCACAUCUGGUCACAGGAAUGAGGGCAACAGGUCUGCUGCCAAAAGAGUGGGCAACAGUGGUGGAGAAGGAACGGACACAGAGGAGUUUGUGCCUGAUGUAGCAGCUCUUGCCAGCAUCUUGUCCAACACAGGGCUGAAAUGCCAGAUGAUGAAUUCAACCCACAAGCCCAGCUUGGCCCAAAGAGUCCCUUUGAGUGGAAACAGAGCAUGUUCAGCCAGCAUUGGGACUGCCCGAGGCUCUCUAUAUACAAAGGUUUCAGAAGGAAAUCCUGUUCGCUUUUCCUGUAUCUCCAGAUCAACUUCAAAAGAUACAGAUCUCUCAAAGUCCUGUGGCCUGUCCCUGAACAUUGAACAGCUUAAGACUUUGUCAUCUAGUCUCAAGAACUACGGUCCCAGGGGGGAAGUGACUCAAUCCAGGCAUCCGGCAGAGGACCAGAGAGUGACCAAGUUUGCAGAUCCAGCAGCCAAGCCCAUUGCAGAAUGUCUGAGCAGAGUGACCCCAACUGAUGUUCCAGUUCAAAGCAACUCUGCUGGGACAAAAGACGCCACAGGAUCAUCAUGGAAAGAUGAAGAGUUUGUACCAGACUCAGCUGCCAAAGCGAGUAUCCUCUCAAAUGAAGGUUUGAGUCGAUUUGCCAUAGGGGCCAAUGGCAAGCUGAGCAUGGCCCAGCGGGUGCUCGUGAAAUGUCCUCAGAAGACUCCUGUCACUUGUGGCAACACUAGGGGUGAAAGUGACUUUUUCUUAGAGCGCCGUACUAGAGCAUCUUCGAUUGGAAAGUUUGGUCGUGUGCCUUAUCGUUCUCCUCAGGGUCUUCAAGGUCUAAAGCAGUCAGCGGCUUCUGGAGCCCAGCCAACCAAUACACCUGGCAACAGAUUUACCUCUGUUGGCUGUUCAUCCUACACUCCAGCGAGGAGGGUUCCACAAUCCUUGUGUCGCACUCCUUGGACAUUUCGUCGUGGCCCUCUUUCCUUCUCCCAUAAGAACAUGAAGGUGGGUAUCCAACCUCCAGCAGAAAUGGAGCAGGGGAAGAUUGCUAUGCGCCUCUUUGAUGAUGAGGUGGAGGCAUCAGCAAAGAAGGUGCCUGCUGCUUCCAUGAUCACACCAGAAAUGGGGAAGCUCCAGUGUGUUGAGCUCCUUGCCCAGCUCUUAUGUCGGGAGAUGAAUAAUGGUGAUGUUGAUCAGGUGGUUGCCCCAUCACUGAAAGAACUACACAAUCUAUUGUCUGCUCAUUGCUCGCCUGCUUUGGAGCCUGCCCAGCCUGCCUCCCUCAGCACACCUUCCCAGGACCCUACACCAAAUUUCUGCAAACCUACAGCACUGCCUGAGGUUGUGGUUGCUCCUGAAACUAGCACAACACUCGCUACCACUUCCAGCCAACAGCUCAGCUGCCCAGGCUCUUGCAUGCCUUUGGCCCAGCAUCCCUCAUCCAGUGCAAGUCGUUCAGACCAGUUAAAGCAGCGGCUGGCUGAUCUCCGUAAUGCACCUCAGCGCUUCCACGAGGCCUUACUAAAUGACGAGUGUGCCUUCUACACGGCCCGCGUCACGUCUGUCUCACAGUCUUCAGUGCCACGGUGUAAGGAGCCUGUGGCAAAAACACUUGAGGCUCAUGGUGCCAUGCACUUUAUACCCAUCGCUGCACCUCUAUCCCCUUUGGGGGAAGGAGAGAGCCCUGCAACCUCAUGA
ensembl:lncRNA